rnacentral:rRNA from 1 species
CGAUAAUUUGCCCUCAGGUCUGGGAUAAGGUUGGGAAACUGACUCUAAGACCAGAUAGAAGAUAGGUUCUGGAAUGUCCUUUCUUCCAAAGGCAACGCCUGGGGAUAAGUCGGCGGCUGAUUAGGUUGUUGGUGAGGUAAAGGCUCACCAAGCCUUGGAUCAGUAGGGGGGAUGAGAGUCCUUGCCCCGAGAAGGGCACUGAGAUACUGGCCCUAGCCCUAAGGGGUGCAGCAGGCGCGAAACCUUUACAAUGUGCGAAAGCGUGAUAAGGGAACUCCAAGUGCUGUGUCUUCGGAUACAGCUUUUGCCGAGUCUAAGGAUCUCGGCGAAUAAGUGGUGGGUAAGACGGGUGCCAGCCGCCGCGGUAACACCCGCGCCACAAGUGGGGACCACGUUUAUUGGGUCUAAAGCGUUCGUAGCCGGAUGAGUAAGUCUUUUGUGAAAUUGUUGUGCUUAACAUAACAACGUGCAAGAGAUACUGCUUGUCUUGAGACUGGGAAGAGGCAGAAGUAUUCUAGGGGGAGCGGUAAAAUGUUAUAAUCCUUGGAGGACUACCAGUGGCGAAGGCGUCUGCCUAGAACAGAUCUGACGGUGAGGGACGAAGGCCAGGGGAGCAAAAUGGAUUAGAUACCCAAGUAGUCCUGGCAGUAAACGCUGUGUGCUGUGUGUUGCAUGUUCCUAGAGAACAUGCAGUGCCCAAGCGAAGGUGUUAAGCACACCACCUGGGAAGUACGGCCGCAAGACUGAAACUUAAAGGAAUUGGCGGGGGCUCACUACAAGGGGUGAAGAGUGCGGUUC